rnacentral:rRNA from 1 species
AGGAAUUCAAUGGCCGCAGUAUUUUAACUGUGCUAAGGUAGCAUAAUCAUUUGUCUUUUAAUUGAGGGCUGGAAUGAAAGGUUGGACGAGAUAUUGACUUUCUUUAGUUUAGUUUUAAGAAUUUAAUUUUUGAGUUAAAAAGCUUAAAUUUAUUUGUUGGACGAGAAGACCCUAUAGAUCUUUAUAAUUUUAUAUUUUGAUAAUUUGGUGAUUUUAUUUAUUGUAAGUAGAAGAAUUAUUUUGUUGGGGUGACUGUAGAAUUUUAUUAACUUCUAUUAUUUUUAUUUCAUUGAUUGGUGUUUUUUUGAUCCAUAUAUUUAUGAUUAAAAGAUUAAGUUACCUUAGGGAUAACAGCGUAAUUUUUUCGGAGAGUUCAUAUUGAUGAAGGAGUUUGCGACCUCGAUGUUGGAUUAA